rnacentral:rRNA from 1 species
AGAGUUUGAUCCUGGCUCAGAUUGAACSCUGGCGGCAGGCUUAMCACAUGCAAGUCGAGCGGAGAUGAGGUGCUUGCACCUUAUCUUAGCGGCGGACSGGUGAGUAAUGCUUAGGAAUCUGCCUAUUAGUGGGGGACAACAUUCCGAAAGGAAUGCUAAUACCGCAUACGUCCUACGGGAGAAAGCAGGGGAUCUUCGGACCUUGCGCUAAUAGAUGAGCCUAAGUCGGAUUAGCUAGUUGGUGGGGUAAAGGCCUACCAAGGCGACGAUCUGUAGCGGGUCUGAGAGGAUGAUCCGCCACACUGGGACUGAGACACGGCCCAGACUCCUACGGGAGGCAGCAGUGGGGAAUAUUGGACAAUGGGGGGAACCCUGAUCCAGCCAUGCCGCGUGUGUGAAGAAGGCCUUAUGGUUGUAAAGCACUUUAAGCGAGGAGGAGGCUACUGAGACUAAUACUCUUGGAUAGUGGACGUUACUCGCAGAAUAAGCACCGGCUAACUCUGUGCCAGCAGCCGCGGUAAUACAGAGGGUGCGAGCGUUAAUCGGAUUUACUGGGCGUAAAGCGUGCGUAGGCGGCUUUUUAAGUCGGAUGUGAAAUCCCCGAGCUUAACUUGGGAAUUGCAUUCGAUACUGGGAAGCUAGAGUAUGGGAGAGGAUGGUAGAAUUCCAGGUGUAGCGGUGAAAUGCGUAGAGAUCUGGAGGAAUACCGAUGGCGAAGGCAGCCAUCUGGCCUAAUACUGACGCUGAGGUACGAAAGCAUGGGGAGCAAACAGGAUUAGAUACCCUGGUAGUCCAUGCCGUAAACGAUGCCUACUAGCCGUUGGGGCCUUUGAGGCUUUAGUGGCGCAGCUAACGCGAUAAUAGACCGCCUGGGA